rnacentral:rRNA from 1 species
CAUAGAGGGUGAGAAUCCCGUAUUUGGUUAUUCUUUCUAGCUUUGUGAUACACUUUCAAAGAGUCGGAUUGUUUGGGAAUGCAGUCCAAAAUGGGUGGUAAAUUUCAUCUAAAGCUAAAUAUUGGCGAGAGACCGAUAGCGAACAAGUACCGUGAGGGAAAGAUGAAAAGAACUUUGAAAAGAGAGUUAAACAGUACGUGAAAUUGUCAAAAGGGAAGCGUUUGACACCAGUGUUGUUUUUCCGAAAAUCAAUUACGAAUGGCUUGAUUUUGUGUUGUAUUGACCUUAUCAGCUUUCUUCACUCUUUUUCGAGUCUUUCUUAAUGCACUUUUCGGUUAACAAGUCAACAUCAAUUUCUUUUGUUGUAAAAGGGUAUUUGGAAGGUGGCUUUCUUUUCGGAGAAAGUGUUUAUAGCCUUAUACCUCUACAAUCGGAGAGAUUGAGGUCUGCGGCGUAGAUCCUUCGGGGCUAGAUACACUUGUGCUAAGUUAUAGCUUUUCAUAGACAACUUGUUGACUAUGUUUAGUCAUGUAGCUUACCCGCUUGUGCUAUUUUACCUACGCUUAGGAUGUUGAA